AUGUUCUAACUGUACUUAAAGGGAUAUUUUUCAAGAUUUUUAUCAACAUGGGAGUGAAGAACUAUGCAUGAGUUAUGCAAAUGUAUGUUUAUUACCUUUGCAAAAAUCCACAACAAGGACAAAUACUGUCCAGAGUAUUCUCUUGAAGAACCUCAAAGGUACUGCAUGCUCAAAAUAUGUUUGAGCUGGUCGUUGAAAGCUUGUGGUAUGUAGAUAUGUCCAGGUGUCUCCACUGCAAACUAUCCAGUGAGCUGACUUUGGCGAGGGGACACAGCAAAUUUCUGGAGUUCAAAAUUCAGGAGUUAAACAAAAAAAGUGUUAAAGUGUUAGAUUUUGGGAGUUUAUUCUCUACAUUCAACUAUGGCUUGUGUUCAGGGUAACUCUUUGGCGGAGUAAUAUUUCGGUGUUCAUUCAUUGAGUGUUGAGGAGUCUGAUUCAACACCACACCUGAGUUAAUGUGCAGCUUUGUCCCCGUGCUCCACUCAGUCGUCUUCACUUGGACUUCACCGUGACUCUUGAGCCAGACUUUGAUGGCCGAACUUGUCAGGACUCGUGAGGCAGUUAACUGGACACGGCGAGGACGGCACCUGUGAGGGAAUGACAACACGCGGUCAAGAUGUUGUUGAAGGUACAACAUGGAAUAACAAAGAAAUAUGUGAAGCUCGAAGAGGUCAGCUUCUCGGAUUUUAUCAAUGCAGUACAGCAAAAGUUUCUCAUGCCAGAAGACAAAGUGCUAAAAGUCACAGAUGAGCAGGGCAUAGAGGUGGAUGAGGAUGUCUUUCCAGAACUUGCAACAGAAUCAAUGUGUUUUGUCAUCUCCAUUGAUGAUGUCAUCCCUUUUGCAGAGUCAUCCAAGAACAUGGCUGAAUGCUCAGACCCAACAGAAUUUGCAGACUGCUCCAACCUGACUGAAUUUGUGACUCUCGGUAGGAGUGAUUUAACACUACUGCAGCAAGGUGAAGGGUCUUCCUCCUCAAGUCUAACAGAUUCGUUGUCCCUCUCAAGCAGUCUGAGCAGUCUAGCAAGUGAUGCUGGAUCUCAAAUGAAUCAGCCUGUCAUGGACAGCACCUGCGCAAGAAAUGCAGUGGAGCGAAUUCUCACUUCUAAGCCAGCAGGCAUGACUGUGAUCAAAGAGUAUGAAGAGACCAGGAGUUUGAAAGAUUCCACCCGGCGUUUAAUGGUGAACAUCAUUGUGGCUCACAUGCGUGAAAAGGAAGGGAGAUUUGUAAACAAGACAACAAAGGAGUUUCACGCCCUUGGGAUUGUGUUGCUUUUCCCAUCUUUGAAGGACCCAUACUGAAAAAAGGGAUGUGUUAGUUUGAAAUGUAACCGUGUCGUGAAAUAAUGAUGGCUGUUACGUUUGGGUUUGUUGAUCUUUGUGUCUAAGCAGCAUACAUGCACUAAGGCUGUCAAAAACUAGAUAUUGUCUGCACUCUAACCAGAAAUACUCUUUUUCAUUUUCAGGAACAUUUCUAUGACAUUCAGAGCAACAAAGGCUUCCUUGAGUGGUGUGUCAAGACUGUGCAACGUCAGUCCAGAACCACAUCUACAUCCCAUAACAGAGUUCAGCUAAAAGGGGGUCCCACAUCAUCAAGAACACUCGGCUCCCUAGAUGACCAGCAAACAGGAGAUGAAUGUAUGGAGGCCAUGUCUCUUCUUCACCACACCACCGAUCAUGACUUAGUCUUCCAGAAGAUGAGGGAGACAUUCCCAUAUUGUCAACAGAUGCUUCAUGACCCACAGCAAUCAGCAGAUAUUUUUCAAAUGUUUCCUUGUUUCUUGGACACGAAGGGACUGAUUUUGCAAGACUUCUUGUUGAUGUUUGGAGCAGAGACCGGUUUUAAAGACAAGGUCAUCCAAGAGGCCAAGACGCUCAGAGAGACAGCUCUGCUGAAAAAACUGCUAACAUCUGCCCUGAAUGAAAAACCUGACACUGCAGAUGAGCCAGAGUGGGACAGUGACAUGGCCUCUCUUCUUGUCCUCCUGCAUCUUCUCACUCCACAACCAGCUGGAAGGAAGAGGCCAAAGAAGAUCAGUGUUGGAGAGGCAACAGAUCAUCUGGUGAAAUUUCAAAAGGAUUGUGAAGAUGGUACGAAAUAUUGUUCAUGCAACUCUUUGUGUUUCAGUCCUGCCAGAGCCUGCAGGAUCACCUAAAGAGCACCGAAGGACACCCUCAGCCAUAUCUUCUGGCCUCAGGGACUUCAAAGGCCCAGGUUUCCAGCUUCUACAUAGUCUUGGAUAGAAAGCUACUUCCAUGCCAGUCUUGUACAUCCUUGGGUGCAUUUGACGAGUUGUUCAAGUCCCACUUUGUUUUCAGUGUGAAAUAUGAUGAUGCUCUGGCCAGUCUGUACACGUUUUUACAAACUACUCUGUACAACAUUGACAUAGGUACAACAGAAGAAACUCCAAGUGUCAAAGAGCUGAGCGCAAAGCUAUUGAACAAGCAGUAAUUAGCUUGUCCAGCAAAAAUGCUCAGAUGUUUCCUUUUGUGCUUCAUCCUUUCGUACAGCUUUACUUUUGUUCAGGCACCUCAAACUAAUUCAUGGGAUGUACUCUAGGAAAAAUUGAGACUAAAAUGUGGUCAAGUAGGAUGUUGCUUGCAAUUUUCAAGUUAUUCUGGAUUUAGAAGACACUUGAUUAAUAUACAUUCUUUGAGUGAUAACACCUGUGUGUCUCCUGAGACCCCCUCUAGCCAUGAAAGCCAACAGCACAAUAAUUCUCAGUGCUUAAAUGAUGAAACACCCUCUACUUCAUCCCAGAUUAUUGAGGCAGGCCCUUCAGUGUCAACUCACAACAAAGAUAUGUGUGCCUCCAUUAUAGCCAAACUUUUGGGAAGUGGAGUACCAAAUACUGUAGUUCUUUCUACCAUUGAGAAUUUAGAGGAAUUUGUAGGAGAUUUGCAGUCUAACAUUCAGGACCAAGUAUUGAACAUACUCCCAGCUGACAACCCCUCCAGAUCAGCCAUAGAAGAGUUAUUUAAAAGUAUGGACAACCCUUUUAGCCAACUGAAUUCUGAUAGCAAAUGGAAGAAAUAUUUCAGGGAAAAAUGGGAUAUAGUACAGCCAGUUGAACUGCGCCUAGGAGUAAGGUAUGAUUCCAGGAGGAAUACCAAAACUGGAAACUAUGAGCAAGUUCCAAUUAAUGACAAGUUCAUAUAUGUUCCAAUAUUGAAAACACUUAAGUUCAUUUUCAAGAAUGAAAAUAUUUGUGAGAUGAUGCAAACAUGUGCACAGAGUGACAAAUAUGAUGACUUCUGUGAUGGAAGCUACUUCAAAAAUCAUCCUUUGUUUUCAAGUAGUAAGUUUGCCCUCCAAAUCCAGUUGUAUUAUGAUGAAUUUGAGUGUGCAAAUUCUCUUGGAUCAAAAAAAGGUAUACAUAAAGUUGGCUGCCUUUACUUCAUCCUUCGAAAUCUUCCCCCCAGGGUGAAUUCGGCCUUAAUGAACAUUCAUCUGGUGUCACUGUUUAUGCACAAGACGUUAAGAAAUAUGGGACUGAUGAAAUAUUGAAACCCUUAGUAAAGGACUUGAAAAUAUUAGAGACUUCUGGGGUUGCUGUUCCAUUUGCUGAGGUUUCUGUAUAUGGUACACUUGCACAAAUUACUGGUGAUAACUUGGGUAUUCAUGGCAUUCUUGGGUUCAUGGAGUCAUUUAGUGCAAAUUAUUUAUGUAGAUUUUGCUUAACUGAUAAAUCUUCAGCUCAGUCAGUUUUCUCAGAAGAUGACCCACGUGUGACUUUAAGAUCACCAGUUCUGAAUCAUCAACAUUACACUAAUUUGGUAGAUGAUCCUACAUUAGCCUCUUCAUUUGGCAUCAAGAGAAAGUGCAUACUUAAUACAUUGCAAUAUUUCAAUAUUGCUGAAAAUUAUGCUGUUGAUAUCAUGCACGAUAUUUUGGAAGGAGUUGGUCAAUAUGAGGUCAAAUUACUUUUUCUGUAUUUGAUUGAUCAUUUCAUCUCUAAAGAAAGCUUGUUAAAUAGACUGUAUGCUUUUGAUUAUGGCUAUCUGGAAAAGAAAAACAAACCAACAAAUGUAAACCUUGACUGUGGAGGAAAUGGAUUAGGGUUAAAUGCAUUGGUUGGUUGGUCACAAGCAUACCUUUGAUAUUUGGUGACCUGGUACCAGAGGAUGACUUGCACUGGCACUUGUUGCUCUUGUUGCUAAACAUUAUAAACAUUGUGUUCUCAUACUC